GUUUUAAUAGCUUAUAAAUUUAAAGUUUAAUAUUGAAGAUAUUAAUAAGAAAAAGUUUUUUCUUAAAACU
rnacentral:tRNA from 1 species